UGACCUUUGAUCCAAAACUCAAUUUGUUAAGCAACAUAUUUUUAUUCCUUUAAAAAUAAAUGAGUACAUGACAAAAUUUGAAACAGUUAAUUAGCUUUUUUUUAAGAAUAUGGCUACUGCCAAAGUCGUUAUCGUCCGAACAACAGUUGCGAAACAAAGAGUUUCAAGAGUUAGCAUAUCGCGAACAGUGAAAUUGGUGAAGAGAAGACCCAGACCUAUAGAAUUAAUUGCUGCAGAAAUGCAAGACGAAGAUGAUUAAAUUGAUAAAGUGGUUGCUUCUUAAAGAGAAUAAUUUUACUUGAAGUGAUUAUUUGUGCAAUGUAUGUGACAUUAAAAUUUUUAUAAAUUUAUCGUGGCGGACUGUUUAAGAAAGCAAACAUUUUUGUUAUAUUUUAUAUAUACAAAAUAUGUAGUUAUGAUACAAAAUAAACUUUCUCAAGAAUUCUUAAGUAAAA